rnacentral:misc_RNA from 1 species
UCCGAUUUGUCACCGGCAGUCUCCUAUGAGUCCCCGUCUUUCACGCUGGCAACAUAGGACAGGGGUUGCGCUCGUUGCGGGACUUAACCCAACAUCUCACGACACGGGCUGACGACAGCCAUGCACCACCUGUGCACCGGCCCCGAAGGGCUGCCGUAUUUCUACUUGAGGCAUGUCAAGCCUAGGUGAGGUUCUUCGCGUUGCAUCGAAUUAAACCACACGCUCCGCUGCUUGUGCGGGCCCCCGUCAAUUCCUUUGAGUUUCAACCUUGCGGUCGUACUCCCCAGGCGGGGUACUUCCUGCGUUAGCGCCGGCACCCAGAGGGUCGCUCCCCCAGGCACCUAGUACCCAUCGUUUACGGCGUGGACUAC